rnacentral:rRNA from 1 species
CCCUUAGAUGUUCUGGGCCGCACGCGCGCUACACUGACUACUUCAACGAGUUGUUUCCUUGAUCGAAAGGUCUGGGUAAUCUUUGAAGGGUAGUCGUGAUGGGGAUAGAUCCUUGCAAUUUUUGAUCUUCAACGAGGAAUUCCUAGUAAACGCAAGUCAUCAGCUUGCAUUGAUUACGUCCCUGCCCUUUGUACACACCGCCCGUCGCACCUACCGAUUGAAUGGUCCGGUGAAUCUUUAGGACUGUGGCUGAGGCCUUGCCUUGUGCGGGUCUGGCCGUGGGAAUUUAGUUAAACCUUACCAUUUAGAGGAAGGUGAAGUCGUAACA